ACAGGGAAGGAUAUUAUCCUUCCGUCUGUGAAUUCCAGGUGAUAGCCAAUUAAGGAAGAGGACAUAAUCCCACGCUCUGGGAUGCCUAACAGGCUGGCUGGUCCUUUGGGGGACCAACUGACCACAUUUGAAAGAAUGUUGUCUUUUUAGAUCUAAGAGUGAUGUUAUUAAACCUGGGUCAUUCCCCGUCAGCCCGCUUUUGGAAAUGGUGGGCAGCUGAAGCCAAGAUAACAAAGAAGAUUAGAGGCAACUGAGACCUAACCAAGUCACAGACCUGGAAGAUGAAAAGAAAGUUUCUUCUAUGGAGCUCAAAGAAUUUGGCCAAUGCUGCCCCAGGUUCAAUACUCACCUGGAACCUCUAAUAUGCUAGUUCACUAAAGAACAAUUAUUACCCUGAUGUUAGGAACCAAGGAUGAUGUAUGAUUGUAGUCUUUCCAUGCAAGAGUGGAGAGAAGUUUUAUGCAUCACUGUGUUCAGGAAGAAAGAGGACAACUUGGAAACCAACGUUAACGGAUCCAGGACCUCACUCUAUGUGAGCAUAGAGAAGUCAUCUGAGAGCAGCUGUUUUCACAGAAGGGUAGUUCUCAACCUUUUCGAUUUCACUGACCUCCUGAGUCCUGGGGUUUGUGGGACAAGCAACCUUUUAUUUUGCCAAUAUGGAAACUUAUCAUCUACUAUCACCCUAAUUCACGAAAGGAGGUUUUAACACCAAGUGUAGGAAGGACAUUGCCGCAGGGAUUGCCGCGCAGUCCACAAAAGCUGGACUACAUUUCCCAGCUGCCCUGCAAGUAGACCACGGCGUGAGGCGGAAGUGAGGUUCAGCACUUGCUGUCCUGGCCCAGAAACCCCCCGCCGUCGUCUGCACGUGUGGGGCAGAUGCUGAGCGUCCCACAGAGGCCCCGAAGCCCUAGUAGUGGCUGAGUCUCAGGGUGGUGGGAGCCCGUGUGCCCAAGAGGCCACUGCCAACGCAGAACAUCCUCCCCGGACUCCAAACGAGCAAGUGCGGAGCUGAACCUCAGCCUCUAAGGAGGGGACAUUGGCCGGCGGUGCGGUGCGCAAUCUCUGGGAGCUUGAUGAAGCUCAUUCUGGGAAACAGGAGAAAAAAAACUGGAGACCGGAACCAGCUGCUUCCAGAAUCAACUGCCGCCUCCAGGCCUCACGCCCAAGGUGCCUGUAAAUCGUGACCAGCUUUCAUCAUUCUUCAGGAUGCGGGACAGUACAGAGGUUAGGAGUCUUGGGUUAUUGACACUGGGACAUCAGCUUUUUAAGCCUUAACUUUCUUGCCUGGAGAAUGAGUUUAAUAAGAGUCUGUCUCUUAUAAGAUUGUUAAUGAAAUGCUGCAUGUAGAUGGCCACAUAGUAAGCAUCCAAUAAAUGGGAGCUCUUCUCACAUUUACAUUUCCCCUACUGGAGCUUAUACUCCAUGAGGACAGGAGAUGCUCUUAAUUAUCUCCAGGUCUUCACACAGUCGGUAGCACAUGACCAGUGGCCAGUGGUAGUUUGGUGCAUAACGAAAUAAAUUAUUGCAGCUAUCUGAACCACAUCAGGCCACACCUGUCCCUUAGCUCUGUGAAAAGGUGGAGAUUCGGGGGCCUCUCAUCAAUGACAAUAAUAUGCCUUAUAAAAUAUCUUAUAAGUUGUGAAAAUGCAACCUAAAAUUUUAGUACCAACAUAAUAUUUCUUUGCAUGUACUACUAGUCUGUGUGCACUGAAAUGCUGUUUUCAGUGAUCUCAAACAUUUUUAGUCUGAGCAAUAAUAUAAUUGUUUUAUGUUUCUUUUUUUAAUGUUUAUCUGUUUUGAGAGAGAGAGAGAGCUAGCAGGGGAGAGGGGCAGAGACAGGGAGAGAGAGAAUCCCAAGCAGGUUCCUUGCUCAGCGUGGAGCCUGAUGUGGGGCUUGAUCCCAUGACUGUGAGAUCAUAACUUGAGCCAAAAUCAAGAGUCGGAUGCUUAACCCCAAUAAUAAUUGUUUUAAGUUGUAGGUGCUCAAGAGCCACCAGGCAUCCUUGUUAAAAUGCAGAAUCCUGGGCCCCAUUACUGCAAUUUUGAAUCAUAGGUCUAAAGGAGAGCCCAGGAAAAUAGAAAUUUUUGAAAAUACAAAUUAAAAGAAAUUUUUUAAAUGUUUAUUUAUUUCUGAGACAGAGAGAG